AACAUGCUCCCUUAGAUCCAUCUUUGUUUGAUGUCUCUUGUGCUGAGUUCUGCUUAAACUUUAAGUAGUUCCAGAUAAGAGGGAUCGGCAACUUCACGGUUGUACAGUCAAAGAUGCUUGAGUCAUUGGCAUGUGAGAACAAUACACCUUCACUCUAGUCUCAUGUUCUGAUAGAAAUGACUUUUAAUACAUGUCAUUCUUAACUAUCAGGAUUUAGCUGGAGUGUGGACAUG
rnacentral:snoRNA from 11 species